rnacentral:rRNA from 4 species
UGAACCUGCGGAGGGAUCAUUAC